rnacentral:rRNA from 1 species
GGUUAAGCGACUAAGCGUACACGGUGGAUGCCCUGGCAGUCAGAGGCGAUGAAGGACGUGCUAAUCUGCGAUAAGCGUCGGUAAGGUGAUAUGAACCGUUAUAACCGGCGAUUUCCGAAUGGGGAAACCCAGUGUGAUUCGUCACACUAUCAUUAACUGAAUCCAUAGGUUAAUGAGGCGAACCGGGGGAACUGAAACAUCUAAGUACCCCGAGGAAAAGAAAUCAACCGAGAUUCCCCCAGUAGCGGCGAGCGAACGGGGAGCAGCCCAGAGCCUGAAUCAGUGUGUGUGUUAGUGGAAGCGUCUGGAAAGGCGCGCGAUACAGGGUGACAGCCCCGUACACAAAAAUGCACAUGCUGUGAGCUCGAUGAGUAGGGCGGGACACGUGGUAUCCUGUCUGAAUAUGGGGGGACCAUCCUCCAAGGCUAAAUACUCCUGACUGACCGAUAGUGAACCAGUACCGUGAGGGAAAGGCGAAAAGAACCCCGGCGAGGGGAGUGAAAAAGAACCUGAAACCGUGUACGUACAAGCAGUGGGAGCACGCUUAGGCGUGUGACUGCGUACCUUUUGUAUAAUGGGUCAGCGACUUAUAUUCUGUAGCAAGGUUAACCGAAUAGGGGAGCCGAAGGGAAACCGAGUCUUAACUGGGCGUUAAGUUGCAGGGUAUAGACCCGAAACCCGGUGAUCUAGCCAUGGGCAGGUUGAAGGUUGGGUAACACUAACUGGAGGACCGAACCGACUAAUGUUGAAAAAUUAGCGGAUGACUUGUGGCUGGGGGUGAAAGGCCAAUCAAACCGGGAGAUAGCUGGUUCUCCCCGAAAGCUAUUUAGGUAGCGCCUCGUGAAUUCAUCUCCGGGGGUAGAGCACUGUUUCGGCAAGGGGGUCAUCCCGACUUACCAACCCGAUGCAAACUGCGAAUACCGGAGAAUGUUAUCACGGGAGACACACGGCGGGUGCUAACGUCCGUCGUGAAGAGGGAAACAACCCAGACCGCCAGCUAAGGUCCCAAAGUCAUGGUUAAGUGGGAAACGAUGUGGGAAGGCCCAGACAGCCAGGAUGUUGGCUUAGAAGCAGCCAUCAUUUAAAGAAAGCGUAAUAGCUCACUGGUCGAGUCGGCCUGCGCGGAAGAUGUAACGGGGCUAAACCAUGCACCGAAGCUGCGGCAGCGACGCUGAUGCGUUGUUGGGUAGGGGAGCGUUCUGUAAGCCUGCGAAGGUGUGCUGUGAGGCAUGCUGGAGGUAUCAGAAGUGCGAAUGCUGACAUAAGUAACGAUAAAGCGGGUGAAAAGCCCGCUCGCCGGAAGACCAAGGGUUCCUGUCCAACGUUAAUCGGGGCAGGGUGAGUCGACCCCUAAGGCGAGGCCGAAAGGCGUAGUCGAUGGGAAACAGGUUAAUAUUCCUGUACUUGGUGUUACUGCGAAGGGGGGACGGAGAAGGCUAUGUUGGCCGGGCGACGGUUGUCCCGGUUUAAGCGUGUAGGCUGGUUUUCCAGGCAAAUCCGGAAAAUCAAGGCUGAGGCGUGAUGACGAGGCACUACGGUGCUGAAGCAACAAAUGCCCUGCUUCCAGGAAAAGCCUCUAAGCAUCAGGUAACAUCAAAUCGUACCCCAAACCGACACAGGUGGUCAGGUAGAGAAUACCAAGGCGCUUGAGAGAACUCGGGUGAAGGAACUAGGCAAAAUGGUGCCGUAACUUCGGGAGAAGGCACGCUGAUAUGUAGGUGAAGUGACUUGCUCAUGGAGCUGAAAUCAGUCGAAGAUACCAGCUGGCUGCAACUGUUUAUUAAAAACACAGCACUGUGCAAACACGAAAGUGGACGUAUACGGUGUGACGCCUGCCCGGUGCCGGAAGGUUAAUUGAUGGGGUCAGCGCAAGCGAAGCUCUUGAUCGAAGCCCCGGUAAACGGCGGCCGUAACUAUAACGGUCCUAAGGUAGCGAAAUUCCUUGUCGGGUAAGUUCCGACCUGCACGAAUGGCGUAAUGAUGGCCAGGCUGUCUCCACCCGAGACUCAGUGAAAUUGAACUCGCUGUGAAGAUGCAGUGUACCCGCGGCAAGACGGAAAGACCCCGUGAACCUUUACUAUAGCUUGACACUGAACAUUGAGCCUUGAUGUGUAGGAUAGGUGGGAGGCUUUGAAGUGUGGACGCCAGUCUGCAUGGAGCCGACCUUGAAAUACCACCCUUUAAUGUUUGAUGUUCUAACGUUGACCCGUAAUCCGGGUUGCGGACAGUGUCUGGUGGGUAGUUUGACUGGGGCGGUCUCCUCCUAAAGAGUAACGGAGGAGCACGAAGGUUGGCUAAUCCUGGUCGGACAUCAGGAGGUUAGUGCAAUGGCAUAAGCCAGCUUGACUGCGAGCGUGACGGCGCGAGCAGGUGCGAAAGCAGGUCAUAGUGAUCCGGUGGUUCUGAAUGGAAGGGCCAUCGCUCAACGGAUAAAAGGUACUCCGGGGAUAACAGGCUGAUACCGCCCAAGAGUUCAUAUCGACGGCGGUGUUUGGCACCUCGAUGUCGGCUCAUCACAUCCUGGGGCUGAAGUAGGUCCCAAGGGUAUGGCUGUUCGCCAUUUAAAGUGGUACGCGAGCUGGGUUUAGAACGUCGUGAGACAGUUCGGUCCCUAUCUGCCGUGGGCGCUGGAGAAUUGAGGGGGGCUGCUCCUAGUACGAGAGGACCGGAGUGGACGCAUCACUGGUGUUCGGGUUGUCAUGCCAAUGGCACUGCCCGGUAGCUAAAUGCGGAAGAGAUAAGUGCUGAAAGCAUCUAAGCACGAAACUUGCCCCGAGAUGAGUUCUCCCUGACUCCUUGAGAGUCCUGAAGGAACGUUGAAGACGACGACGUUGAUAGGCCGGGUGUGUAAGCGCAGCGAUGCGUUGAGCUAACCGGUACUAAUGAACCGUGAGGCUUAACCUU